CGGCCGUUCACCGGUGUGGAUGCGUCGGUGUUGGGUGAGGUUGGAGCCACGGCUGAAGCCUUUGCCACACUCAACGCAACGGUGUGGUUUUUCGGCGGCGACGGCCGUCCGGCACCGCCGGGAGCAGCCCGGGCAGCAACGUAGUUUGGUAGCGGCACCGCGGGCGCAUUCGGCGCACGGCGCCGGCGUCGGCUCGCUCUUCUUGGUGCUGCGGCGUUGGGUUUUGGCAACGGGUUCCGGUUGCGAUGGGGACGGUGAUGGGGAUGGGGAGGGAUCGGCUCCGUUUGGGGACGCGUCCUCGGCGCCGGCACCUCCAUCCCGGGGGCUGCGUGUCGCUCUCCUCCUCCCACGCCGGGCCCCCCCCGGGCCCUGUUCCCGCACCAGCUC
rnacentral:lncRNA from 1 species